rnacentral:lncRNA from 9 species
GGGAGAGCAUGAUGAAGGAACAAGGUGCAAUGAUUCUCUGCAUGAAUGGAGAGACUGGCUUUAAUUUGGACAGAGUGUCUCUCUGCAGUGAGAGGAAGGAAGGCUGAAGGUGUGGGUGCAGAUAUGUGUUAACAGGAGGUGGGGUUGCAGCGUCCGAGAAAGUUAUCUUCUGCGCAGAAGGAUGAAGGAGGAAGAGUUGGAGUCUGGAGGAUGGAGGCUCAGCCAGGAGACGGGACCAUCAGUCUUACAUCCUUGGCUGGCGGACAGAGUGGAUUUUCUGACAGGAGCUGUGUUAUGCACUGGGCAACAUCUACCCUCCCUCACUAACCACUUCUCAUCUGGGCUGUCACUGUAGAAUGUGUGGGAUCCAGAAUCCUUCUAUUAAGAAUACCUUCAGGAGUCUAUGCAGAGACCACAGACAGGAAAUGUUCCUGACAAUCUCUCGUUAUGUGACGCCUUGUCACCUGCUUCACCUCCCCCAACCUGUAUAACUGUUGCAGUUCCAUUCCCUGCAGAAGGAAACAAGAAGGAAGGGCCAAUGAGAUUCCUAACCUCCAGUCCUAGAAGAUGCCGGGAAACCCGUGCCCUUUGCCAGCCGCGUGAUUUCAUAAUAACUUGUGAGUGCUUCAUGCUUUGUUUUGUUUUGUUUUUUUCCUCAUCCCUUUUGUCUUUCUUCUGAUGGCCUUUACGAGUUGUUUGGGAACAGAUCUUUAUAGACACUGUGCUAGAGUGUGGAUGUCCUAGGAAGAGUCACCAAAGCACCUCAAACUGCAGACCACUAUGUCACUCCAUGCUUUACACGUUUGGUUAAAUGUGUCUUUUCAAUGGCUGUGCUGUAUUUGCAACACAAAAACAAGGGCCAGCAAGUCAGUAUUCCCCAGGUCUUUAUCUGGCACUUACUGUUAAGGUGGUGAAGGCUGAUGGAAGGCAUUCUCAAUGAGUGCUUUGGAAGAAUGAGAAGAGGACAUAGUGGGGAUGACAGUGCCUUACUGCAGAUCUGCAGUAAACCCUGCCAUGCCUAAUAGACCCCUAGAUUGAAAUUUGACAAGCUGUGUCUCCCCCAUCAGGUUGGGUGGAUGGUUGAGUCUGAGGGAUAUUAUCUGCCUUAUUAGAAGGCUGCUCAUGAACUGAAUGGUGGUUUUAAUUAAAUCCAGUAGGUUGAGAAGAGUGGUUUGGCAGUUUCAAUUGAUUUAUUGUGUUUGUGACAUCUGGGUCUGAUUUAUUGUAUUGACUUGCAGAACUGUUUUUGGACUCUCACCCUGCGUAUUUUCAUUCUGGUUUGGGGGACUCACAGCCUAUAAAUAUGUAACAUUUUCAUUCUACUGUGAUUUUAGUUUUCUCUUUGCAUUCUUAUUUUGGUAAGAUAGUGAACUAUUGAAUUCAUCUUGUUAAAAAUGUGACUGUUCGAAAGCAUGAGGUUUUGUGGGGUUUCUGUAUAUGAACAGGGCUUGAAAAGUAGUGCUGGGUUGAAGUUCAUUAUCAUUAUCCCACCUAAGUUAGUGGGAGGAGAGAGUAAGAGAGAUUGACAGGUUUUUUCUUUUAAUUCGAAAAGAAUGUUAGUCUAUAAUUGACAGACUGCUCGAUGUUCUUAUGGCUUUCUAAAUUUUAAAGUUUGGAUUUUAGAUAUAAAUGUGAAUACCAAGUUACAGAUAGUUUAUUUUUAUUUUAUUUUAUUUUUGCUUUUUUUUUAUGGCCACACUCGCAUUAUAUGGAGGUUCCCAGGCUUGGUGUUAAAUUGGAGCUAUAGCCAUCAGCCUACACCACAGCCACAGCAACAUCAGAUCCGAGCCACAUCUGCCACCUACACCACAGCUCAUGGCAAUGCUGGUUCCUUAAGCCACUGAGUGAGACCAAGGAUCGAACCCAAGUCCUCAUGGAUGCUAGUCAGAUUCGUUUCUGCUGAGCCACGAUAGGACCUCCAGAAAGUUUGUUUUUAAUUCUGAAAGUAGUAAAACUGUUCGGCUGGCUAUUAGUGUCCCGUCCCCCUUCCCCUCCCGCCCCGACACACACCCACAUCUUACUGUAGGCAAGUCAGUUUUAGAAUGUCUCCACUUCAGAUUCCACAUAGCAUGUGCUAGAAGGCAUGGGAAAGAAGGGAGAGCAGAGAAGGGUCAAGCUGUACUUCCUGGCAGAGGAGGAGGGCAGAGAAGCAAGCAGGUCUCAAUCAUCUUGAAUGCUUUGCUGGUGUAGGAAUAAGUGCUUGCACAUCUGAGAAACUGUAAUGAUGGGCUCAGUUCCCAGCAUUAGAGUUCUCUCUUUGCUACAGCUGAGGUCACUUAGCCCCUACCUGAACUCCCAGCCAAAGUUCUGGAACAAAUCAGGGAAUUUAAGGGAGUCUAGGUAAAUCACUCAUGCAAAUCAAUUUCAGGUCAGCCUGUGUCAUUGACCUUCUGCCUAAGUAGUGGAGGCCGGACACUACUGCUGUUCUUUGGCGUCAGCCUCUAAGUGAAGUUUAAUCCACUUAGAAUGGCUUCCUAGUUUUCAUUCUUGAACCCACAUCUCUAGCUCUGUAGAUUAUCUUGUUUAUCUUCAUAGAUCCUUUCCAGAAUACCCAGUGUACUGCCUUGAGCACAAAGUUGGGACAUACCUGAUAUUAACCACCUAUUGCUUCCCCCACUGAUGACCACAUACAGUCCAGAUGUUUCUCUAUGCACUACAGCUGCGUCUCCUGUCAUCUACCCCCAUUAAAUAGGCUCACUCCUACAUAGGUCAUUAUAUCUCUUAAUGCAUAACAUGAUCUUUGGUCUUUCUUUAAAACUCUGGUUUUUUAAAUUUCCUUUUGUGGGGUUAUCAGUUUGAAUAGAAAAUGAUUGCUUGAAGCUAUAUAUGGUUGAUUUGAGAGCUUUUACUUUAUUCUCCGUGGUACCAAGUUGCUUCACAUAGCUCAUGAACUUCUUUGGUUUUCUGGGAACCAUAUAAUUCUCCAAAUUGGUUAAGAUAGGAUGUAUGAAAGGAAACUCAAUCACAGGAGGCACUUACUGAACAUCCACCUAUAUUUCAAACAUAAACAGGCAUGCAUUUUUAGCCCAUCAUGUAUUCUGCUUGGAAACACCUCAUCCAUAUCAAACUUAAGGAGGAAUAAGAAAUAAUGCCAUUUAAAAAAAAAAAAAGCUCUAUGUACAUUAAACUCACCAUUUAAGUAUGUAAUUUAGUGAUUUUUCAAUAAAAUUUUACAAAAUUGUGCAGGCUUCACCAAAAUCCAAGUUCAGAAUAUUUUAUCACACUGCAUCUCAAAGAGAUGGUUCUGGUUUUAUGUGUAAAUUAUUUUAAGUUAAUCAGAGAAUGCUAUUUUGUAAGUUAGGAAGAAAGUACAAAGAAUUUUAUAUGUUUAAAAAUACCGUACCAGAGAGCUCUCACGGGUAGUUAAUUCAGAUGACCUUGUUGACCUAAUCCAGGGACUAGGCUGUGCAAUGCUGCCUAUCUUCCCAAAAAAGUUCUGAAAGAAUUUUGAAAAUAAUUCAUUCUAAAGUCCCAUAAGUCUAUACUGGGCAAAAUCAUAUUAUCACAUAUUAGAGAGAUGGAAUGAACUCGAACUGUACCCGCAAGGUAAACACAGAUUUUUGAAGCCACAUUUCCUAAUAGACUCCAAAGAGCUGGCCUUGAAAGUACAGAAUGAAGGGAAGCUGGAAAGAGCAUUCACAUCGGUGGUAAGUGUGUGUUUCUUCACUGUCAAAGAUAAUGGUCCUAAGGUUGUUCUUCAUUUGUAAUCAUACUCAGUGGGCUAGAGAGCAUACUGGCAAGAUCUCAGAUGUUUAAAACUUUGUCCAUGAUCUAGAUGUGAGCUCAGUGAAGCAUCCCUAAUGAGAAACUCAAAAAUUCAUUUGAAUUAUUCCCCAAAAAAAAGACUUACUGUUUGCUUUUACUUUCACUUAAGAUACUGUGACACCAAAGACACAGUGGUGAUCAUGACAAAAAGUCUGUUUUGGCAGCUUCUCCAGUCUCGUUUACAAGUGUUUUUCAAACAGUCAUUUAUGAACAAGACUCUCUUAGACCAUAGAAGGAAAUGCAUAGUUAGAUGUUCAACCUUAAAGGGUUUAUAAUCUUAAAGUUGACGAACUGGACAAAUUAUCAGAGUCAAUUCUUACUGCAUCCUUUGAAUAAAUGUGAUAGUGAUUGGAUAUAAAUGAAAUUUAGUAAGAUGGAUACUUAGUGAUUUCUGAUAAAUAUGGUCAUAACACACACUUCCUAAACCCUCCAUCCCUUUCCUUUAUAUUUCCUCUAAGGAAACAGAAAGUUUGCUGUUACUGAGCUGAUCAGAGAAGUAGUAGUCUCUUAAUUUACUGGCUUAACAGUGAAUUUUCAGAAGAGAAAGGAGUUCAAGGAGUUCAACAAGGGUGGCAACUGAAUUUCUCUGGAGCAACUAUUUUCCUGCAAAACAUUCUUGUUUCCAUGUUUGUGUCUUCUCUGUGGCAAUCUGUCAAGUAGGUUUCCUUGGCAUGUAGCAAGUGUUGGAACCCACUAUCUCCUGGGAUAGCUCUUUCUAUUUAUGGACAUAUCAGAUUGCUAGGCAGAGCUUCCUUGAAGUAAACUGAAUCUGUGUUCUACAGCUUCUACCAAUAGAUCCCACUUCUGUACUCAGGGGAUCAUGAAGCCUAUGAAUCUUGAAACUCAGCCAUCAGCUCAUUAUUGGGAGGACUUGUUCUAGCACCAAGUUUCCUUUCCAGCCCCAAAUCUCUUUCUUUACUACCUAAAAUCUUCCCAGUUUCAGACCCUCCUUCUAAAACUAACCCUCCUUCUUGACCCUUGAUUUAAUCUCUAUCCCAAUUAAUAAAGGAACUUGAUCCCACUCUUCCUUGUUUUCCCACUUGAAUCCCUAAUUGCCUCCCUUUCCACUGUACCACUCUCUUUAUGGAUGUGCUCAGGUCUCCCUUGCACCACAUAAAAUAAAACACACUACGUAAAGCCUCCUCUUAGGCCUGCUACUUCCCAAACAACCUCACAAGCUUGUGCCUUUCUUUUUUCCAUCAAGCUGUUUUAUUAGACUUGUAUAAACGAUCUAUGUUUGACAUUAAUUUUUACAGUCUGCAAAGGUGCUAUUCAAAUGCUGCUUUAUGGAUGUGAAAUAAACCUAGUAGUUGAAAAAAUUCCCAAAGUAGGUAAUGGUUGAGUUUAAAGAGGAUCUAGUUUAUAAACAAAAUUUGGUAGUGUCGAAUGGGUGACUACACAUCUCUAGUCUAAACUCUUUGCAUUUAUGGAGUUCCCGUCGUGGCGCAGUGGUUAACGAAUCUGACUAGGAACCAUGAGGUUGCGGGUUCGGUCCCUGCCCUUGCUCAGUGGGUUAACGAUCCGGCGUUGCCGUGAGCUGUGGUGUAGGUUGCAGACGCGGCUCGGAUCCUGCGUUGCUAUGCCUCUGGCGUAGGCCGGUGGCUACAGCUCCGAUUCAACCCCUAGCCUGGGAACCUCCAUAUGCCGCAGGAGCGGCCCAAAGAAAUAGCAAAAAACUCUUUGCAUUUAUGAAUAAUCUUCCAGGAAGAUGUUGAAUAACACAUAACUCUCCUUCCCAAAUUUAGCCAAGCAAAAUGGAAGUGGAGUAAUAUACUAUUAAAAUAUGUUGUAGUCUAUUCAUUUUUUUUUUUGAUGAGUAGAACAUAUUAAUAAUUUAGUAUAAUUUUUAAAGGAAAAUCCCAAUUACUACAGACUUAUUGUGAGCAUUGCUCAAUACAUGUUGGGCAGAAUGGAUUAUCUGAUGCCCUUCACACACUUAUUUUCCUUCCCCUUCUGCCCUUGAGAGAUGGGAGUCUUUAUUAGGACACAGUAAAAAGAC